rnacentral:rRNA from 1 species
AUCCUGGCUCAGGACGAACGCUGGCGGCGUGCCUAAUACAUGCAAGUCGUACGCUUCUUUUUCCACCGGAGCUUGCUCCACCGGAAAAAGAAGAGUGGCGAACGGGUGAGUAACACGUGGGUAACCUGCCCAUCAGAAGGGGAUAACACUUGGAAACAGGUGCUAAUACCGUAUAACAAUCGAAACCGCAUGGUUUUGAUUUGAAAGGCGCUUUCGGGUGUCGCUGAUGGAUGGACCCGCGGUGCAUUAGCUAGUUGGUGAGGUAACGGCUCACCAAGGCCACGAUGCAUAGCCGACCUGAGAGGGUGAUCGGCCACAUUGGGACUGAGACACGGCCCAAACUCCUACGGGAGGCAGCAGUAGGGAAUCUUCGGCAAUGGACGAAAGUCUGACCGAGCAACGCCGCGUGAGUGAAGAAGGUUUUCGGAUCGUAAAACUCUGUUGUUAGAGAAGAAYAAGGAUGAGAGUAACUGUUCAUCCCUKACG